UUCCAUGGUUUCGGCUCGCGUCCUGUCCUGUCGAUCUGACC
rnacentral:misc_RNA from 1 species